AAUUGUGUCAUACAAACUUAGCACAUCUAUUUUUAUAUGAUCUAAAUCACACCCUUUCUGCAUGUUCUACCUUAUUAAAUCUUCUUUGUUUCUCCCCAAAGCAUUCCCUUUAAAUCACAACAGCACGUUUUCCAAUCCUAUUCAACGGUCACAAUCAUGUCCAUAAAGGUAAACUCGUUCUUUAUGACCAUGCACAUUACUCGGAUUUAUGUUAUCGUCACGUCACCCAAUAAUCUCUCUACUUGAUCAGCAACAUGUUGAAAGCAAACAGUUUGGUUCUACUACAGAAACAGCACCCAACGUACCCAAUAUUUAAAAUAUUAGAUAUUGUACUGAUAAAUAGCCCAGUAAUAUUGGACGGU